rnacentral:rRNA from 1 species
UUACCCGCUGAAUUUAAGCAUAUCACUAAGCGGAGGAAAAGAAACUAACAAGGAUUCCCCUAGUAACGGCGAGUGAAGCGGGAUAAGCCCAGCACCGAAUCCCCGACGUCAACCCGUCGCGGGACCUGUGGUGUUCGGGACAGCCCUUGGAGCGGCGGUCGAUCGUCCGAGUCCUCCUGAUCGGGGCCUCUGCCCAUAGCGGGUGUCAGGCCUCUACCGGCGAUCGCCUCCGUUCCAGCUGGAGCGUCCUAGGAGUCGGGUUGUUUGGGAAUGCAGCCCAAAGUGGGUGGUAAACUCCAUCUAAGGCUAAAUACUGGCACGAGUCCGAUAGCGGACAAGUACCGUGAGGGAAAGUUG